CAGGACUCUGGAGAACCUGACUGCAUUUAGGAGGUGAUUCAGCUAUUGGAUUCAAGUGUGCUGGACCAGGGAGACAUCUAAGAGUUGCAGGACACCGGCCCUCGAGGACCAGGAGUGCCCACCCCUGAGCUAGCCCAAGCUCAGUAUUAAAGGGUCAGUUAGCUCAUAAUGAGAAGGCAGAAGAAGACGGUUGGUUUGUGGCUAUGCAGCCAUUUCUUUGUUAACUUGGAUGAUUAUUUUCACCAGUAAUGACCCGUCUUCAGUUUUCAAGAGGUCACCAGACUUCCCAGUAGAGUUCAUGAUGUAAUCACAGAUUCUACACCAUACACAACAGUGUCCAUGAGUUGCUCCAUUCAUCCCCUGGUUUGUGUCCAAACCCACCUGAAGUGUUUGCUGCAGUAGUUAAUUAGUUACACUAAUCUGACAACAGCACAUAUUUUCCAUUGAAGUCAGUAGUUCUAUCAGUAGUCAGUAGUUUGUAAAGCUCAACAGAUUUAUGUUAGUGAUGAUAGGACAGGAAUUGUAUUCUCCUAGUAUGUCUUCCCCAACAGGGACUGGCAUCCAGAUAGGCUCUAAUGGUUUUUCUACAGACUUGGCAACUCAAAUAUUCCACAUUAUGCAGCAGAUUUUAAUGUGCAAUAAGCUUUGGAGAUUUAUUAACAAACCUCCACACUGUGCCUGGUGGUAUGAUAAACCCAGCUGCUUGUCUUUUCUAUCACCGUUUUGGUUGUUUAAAGAUUUUAAAUAAUUGCACCGACUGUAGAUGCGAGGAUGUUCAGGCCAGUAGCAUUUUUUUAAAUAUGUCCUGAUUUAUGAAAACCAACGCAUUAGCUUUGCUUGAAUGUUAUAUUCCCUUUUCUUUCCUAUUUUACAAAGUGGUGCCAUACUGUGGCUGUUAAAGAUUAUGUGUGUUUUUAGCCACAUAAUCACUAAGGAGAUGCACAAUUAAAUGAGACAAUAAAUCAAUGAAUAGAUCUCUGAAAAGUUCCUCCUCUCUUCUGAGAUCAUGGUUACUCCCUUGUAUAUGUGUUACAUCAUAUUUAUACCCCUGGGAAACAAGUAGUCAUGGAUCUAAUCAACUUAAAAAAUAAACUAUAAAUUAUUAUUUUUUUUUUUUUUUACAAGAAUUGCUUGUAGUGUCAAUUUCAGUGUCAAUUUUAGAAUUAGAAUCUGUUAUCUUGUAAAAAAAAAAACUAUUCGUAAUUAUUUUUUACUCUACGUAGAUCUACUCAAAUUAAAGUUUGGAUUUUUCCGUAUAAAAGAUUGAUUAUUAUUUAUUUAUUUUUUGGUCAACUAACCUUUCACCAACAUUUGUGAAAAGCAGUGUCCUAGAAUCAACUCUAGCUGUCCUGCUUUACCUUGGUGCUGGCUACUCCAAUCUCUGGGCCAGCAUUAAUGUGGACUCCACAGUCUGUCUCCCUGGAGAUGGAGCUCCCCACCGUGUUGGUGACGCCAACAGUCAGCGCGCCUCUCUCCUUACAGUAGCGCAGAGCCAAGAGGCUGUCGGCGGUCUCCCCUGCAGGGUUGG